GCGUGACGAUGAUUCGUGGAGUCCACUUGAAGAUGAUAAUGAACCCGUAUUGAUAUUGGCAGCUGGUUGCGCCCUUUGUGGAAAAUUUGAUGAUGGAGCGUAUGCACCUAUGGAUUAUACAAAAAGUCGAAACCCAAGGAUGUCGGAUGAGGAUGACCCGGAUGACACACUAAAUUACACAACUUGCGCGUAGGGAAUGGGUAAGAAGGACAGAAUGAGAGCCACACUGAAAGCCCAACCAUAGCAAUUGUAUAUUGUAGAGGUAAAUUAAGAAUAUGCACCGACGUAUUGACAAUGAACUGUGUCCUACAAGCACUGUCUACGCCCCACGGUGUCAAAUCAGAAUUUCGCGAAGCGAAAGUGCAACAAAAUUGUGUAAUCGUUCAAACAUUUAUAUCUUCAAACAAAAUCAAGCAAUCUUUAUGUUUUACCUACCAAACGAAAGGCACCGAUCCACGUAGCCCAGUGGUAACGCUUCCGCCUCGUAAGUGGUAGAUCGGGGUUCAAAUCCCGGUUCGGACCAACACAACUGGAGAUCUAUUCCCUGCUGGAUUUCGAUUUCGAUAGAGUUUUAUGCUCCAGACCCCAAGUUGUCGGAUGAUACGAAUAAAUAAACAACAAUAAACAACUACACAUUAGGGAAGGCGACCUAUAGAA